GGGUACUCCCGCUGCAGCCCCCGAAGCUCCAUCUCCUCCGGAUCACUCACCGAGCCCGUGGACAUCCCGUUGUCCCCCUUGCCCACACGCGUCCUCUUUCCUCCCCCCUGGCCAGUCUCGCUGUCUCCGCCUUCCGCUCCCUGGCGGAGGCGGAGGCCAGAGAGCGCUCCAAGGAAGACUAAAAACCCAGGCCGGGAAGCGCGGGGUGAGAAAGCGAGGUGGGUGGCGAGAGCGUGAGCGCCCCUCUGCUGACCCCGGGGAGCGUGGACUACGAGUUGGCGCCCAAGUCCAGAAUCCGCGCGCACCGCGGUUUAUUUUUAGGGAGGAAGCUAGCAGUGUAUGUACCAUCUUGACAGUAACCAGAAGCCAUGAAAGGAGUUCUAACUUGUGCCUCUGAGGAAAGUCUCUUUUUAUAUGCUGCUCAAUGUCAUUUACUCAUCGAAAAGGAAAAUAUUUGCAAUACCUGCCACGUCCAAGGUUCAGCUGAGGCCAAUGUAAAGCCAGUAUUAUAGGACACUUCUCAGACUGAGAGCCCAAUGUCGUUGGAAACCACUGGGCCACAGGAAAGGCAGGCUCUCUCAGUCCUGCUCCUGCCAUGGAAGAAGCCUGCUCCCACCAUGCCUUCUGCCACGAGUAAAAGUUCCCUGAGGCCUCCCCAGAAGCAGAUGCUGUCGUGCUUCCUGUAUAGCUGCAGAACUACUUAUAGAUGGGGUCACACACCAUUCUACAAAGAGGGGAGUCUCUCCGUGAAAUGACUUGAACUUAUAAAGCGCAUUCUGCUAUGUGGUUGCCUCACCAACUCCCUUCCUGCCUGGACUAUUACAGUAACCUGUGGAUUGGUCUCCUUGCCUUGAGACGAUGACAUUUCUGGCACCUAAACCCAUCAGCAUCAAGUUGUUCUUUUGAAAACAUAAAUAUGACCAUGUUACAUGUUUUUAAACCUUUCAAUGGAAUACUUUCACCUACAGGAUAAUGUUUAGAUUUUUUAACAUGGCAUGCAUGACGCUUCACUCUCUGGCUUCCACACAUUCUCCAGAAUUACUUCCUGUCACUCUCCUAUGUCUAUUCUUGUCUCCAACAAUUCCCAACCUCUUGUGCUGUGGUCCAUGGCUCUCCAUGCCUCAUGCCUGUGCUGUCCUGGAGCACUUCCUUCAACUGAUACACAAAAAAAGUCUUGCUUAUUCUUCCCUGAUCUACCUGGGUUUCACCUUCACCUGUAUGCAGAGUUAAUGCCUUCCCGCUGUCUGUUCCCAUAUCAGGCUGUGUACUAUUGAAAUAUUCAUCACUCCCUUCAGGCUGUGGCUUAAUGUGCCCAUCUCCUUAUCAGCCUUGGCAAUUUAAGGACAGAGGUUUUGUUUUGUUUUUUGUUUUUUAAUCUCUCUCAUUUUUGUGUGUUCUCAGGAGCAGGAGAGAAGGGAUGUUAAUAUGUUGAAUUAAUGUUAAUCAUUAAAACCAUCACAACCCCAAAUUUCUUUAAUCCCUACUUAAUCCAAAUUGAUUGAAUUUGUACAAUUUUCAUGAAUGUUGAAUAAUCUUGAGGUGAAAUAAUCUUAUUUCACAAAAUAAAAAUUUGUUGAAAUAUCAUUCAACAAAGAUAUUAUUCUAAAUAUUCAAAACCGAAAGAAAGCAUAGGUCAUAGAGCUAUUUGGUGGUCAGUUCAGAGGAAACUUUGACAGGAUGAUGCCAACAAUGGGAAAAAAAAAGCCCCAAUAACCAUCCUGUCUUAUAACCUACAAAUAAUGUUACAUACAAUUUUAAAUUCAAAUAUAUUUGUUAGCAUGUUUGAAAUCUAUUUUUGUUUGUUUGUUUUCCUGGGCUCCUCAGAUAGUGAAUUGGACUUAGGAACAGAUUUUGAAGAAUAAACUAGAAUCAGUCAAGUGGAUGGAGGGUAAAUGUCCUCUAGGGGGAUAACUCACCAGAAAAAGAGGCUGAAGAGUAGGCAGCAAGGGAAGAGCUGGUGGCUCCUCAUCUGUAGCACAGGGUGUUGUGAAAGUAGGAGAGAGAAGGCUGGCACGGGGUGGGGGCGGGUGCAGAGCAGGUCAUGUAGGGUCAUACAAACCUCACUAAAUUCCAAAGACCACAGGAAGUCUCAGAAGCAUUUUUCCAGGGGAGGGAUGCUAUCAGAUUUGCAAAAAAGUAGACUUGAAAAUCAUUCUCAAGGUAGCACAGGUGCUGGAAGAAUAAUGAAAAUUACUGACCUUCAAAAAGUCCUUAUUCUGUGCCUGGUAUUAUUCCGGGCAUAUUACAUAUGUUACUGCUUUUCAUUUUCACAGCAAACUAAGAGGUGAAUACUAGCAUGUCUUCUUUUACUAAGCUACAUGCACACUAAGUAGCAACACUGAGAUCCAAAUCAAGGUAAUCAGGCAGGAGAGUCCGUGCAAUUACCCUUGCUAUAGUGCCUCCCCAAAGGCAGGAGGAAUUGGAGUCCGGAGGUGGAUAGCUUAGUUAAAAAACAAAAGCAACAGUAGAAGGAAGAAAUAAUAACCUAGGGUAGUGAUGAAGCAAAAAGAGAGAUACAAAUGUAAGAGAUAUUUAGAAAGUAAAAUUAAUUAGGUUUGAU
rnacentral:lncRNA from 1 species